GACAAACGCUGGCGGCAUGCCUAACACAUGCAAGUCGAACGGACAGAACAGGGAAGCUUUUCGGAGUGGAACUGGAAAGUUAGUGGCGGAUGGGUGAGUAACGCGUGGACAACCUACCUUGUAAAGGGGAAUAACCUCGAGAAAUCGAAGCUAAUACCCCAUAAUAACCUUGCUUCGCAUGAAGUAAGGAGGAAAGGCGGCCUUAGCGCUGUCGAUACAAGAUGGGUCCGCGUCUGAUUAGCUAGUUGGUGAGGUAAAGGCUCACCAAGGCGACGAUCAGUAGCCGGCCUGAGAGGGUGAACGGCCACAUUGGGACUGAGACACGGCCCAAACUCCUACGGGAGGCAGCAGUGGGGAAUCUUCCGCAAUGGGCGAAAGCCUGACGGAGCAAUGCCGCGUGAGUGAAGAAGGCCUUCGGGUUGUAAAACUCUGUCCUUAUCGAAGAGAGAGUGUUGUAGUAACUGACAAUACUAGGACGGUAGAUGAGGAGGAAGCCCCGGCUAACUACGUG
rnacentral:rRNA from 1 species